rnacentral:lncRNA from 1 species
CAAUUAAUGUGAAAACAAGAUAUCUGAUCUGUUAGUUAUUGCUUGCUACAAAAAUAGCAGUAGUUGCUGACAUAACACAUUACUGCUGGGGACCGUUGGGAGAAGAAACAUCGUCCUAUUCAUCCUUCUCUGAAGCGCACAAAGCAGACAGGUGGUACCCUACCUCUCGCUCCCUUUUCUAACUUCUCAUACACUCCCCCCGCCCCACCACCC